rnacentral:misc_RNA from 1 species
UACUUUUCACCGAGGCCAAGCCCCCAAACACAGAGAGAUAAACGAGAACACCAUGCGGAAGUGACAAGCCGGGAGAGGAGAAGGAAACGGGACUCAAAUGGCGGGAAGUGAGCAGCCUCAAAACCCAAACGAAGCAGCUCCUGAACCCAUGAAUAAAGGCCUGUGGCAGAUUCACUACUCUUGCUUCUUCAGCUUUCCUUUUUUCCCCUCAACUUGUCACAUCCUUAAGCCUCUUACUUCCAGUUGCAUCAACAGAAACCCUUGUGGCAGAUGGGUCUCUUAUUCUUCAAUGGCCUUUCUGCAUCUCAUAAGUGAUUACCGCGUUCGUGGGGUCGUCCUUAUUGUCUCAUUUCACGGGAUAGUCUAUGUGGGUAUUUCUUAUUUUGGCGGGCCUCUGUUAUUUCAUUGCAUUUUCUUUUUAGAUGUUGAAAAUGCUAAUUUGAAAAUUGCAAUUCUGAUUACGACUAGUUUCGUGAGUGAUGUUUCAAGGUUGGUGGAAUUUGUGAACUAUGCGUGUGCCAUUAUUGUGAAAAGAAAAUCAAGGCAGGGUAUAGUUUGCUUUCUAUAAGGGAUACCUUGAUAUUCCUUCUUUCUUCCUUUCUUUCUUUUCAAUCUGCUUCUGGGAAUGCUACUCAAAACUUUUCCUGAUUACAUUUCCAGGUUUUCCCAAUCUUAAUUGUUUCUAAAGGGACAAGAAAGCUAAUUAGUCAAUGAGAUUUUGUGUGUUCCUUUGGUUUGUUUUAUGUUCAUGUUUGAGUGCUUUGGUAUUUGCUCUUGGUUUCUAUUGCUUCACACUCUGAAUAAUUGAGAAACUUAUGGCAUCGUUGUGUCUCUUUUCCCCAUUUUUGCCCGUGGAUUGAUUUUACACUAUGAAAUUCAUGUUUUUUAAAAGAUAUCCCAUGCUCCUCAUUGGUAUUUUUUACGUUAGCGCUUUAAAUAUUUGCACAUAAUCAUUUGAAUUAGUUAGUUUUCAUAAUCUCCUAUUAGUUUAGGUGUGAAAGCAUUCCAUCUUUGAUAAAUGACUCGGUUUAAGAUUGAAGUUGAAAUGUGCAACAUGGCUCAAUCUAAAGUGGUCAUUCCAGGUUAUGAAUUUGGGGAAGUAGGCUGAAAUGAAAUAUAUAUUUUUUUUAAUUAUUUGUUUUAUUUUCUGCGUCAGAUGUGUUCGUUGGGCAAGUAUUGCUGGUAUGGGAGUCAGGCCAUUUAAUUGCUAGCCAUGAGCUUGCUGUCUUUAUAAUUAUUUGGAUUAGAAGGCCUAAGAGCCAAUUGCUAAUUGGGAGUAUGGUCCUUUCUGUAAGAUCUUAAAAAGUUUCUGAGGUUAUGACGAAUCCUUAGAUAUGACAAAGGAAUCCUUAGAUAUGACAAAGAAAUCCUUCACUUUGUUACUAUAAUGGCAAUUUUUGGCACAAAGCUUGAUUUACUUUAUCUUGAUUGUGGUGGAGAAGUUAUUGGAAAUCUACUGAUCAGCUUGGUUGUUUUAUGAAUGUCUGACAAGAAGAACACCAGAUUUCCAAUCUGGUUUUCUCUUGGCCUCAGGUUUCAUGUCUGGAGGAACGCCCAGUUAGAGGUAGCAUAGUUGUAUUUUCAAGUUACAGAGAUAGCUUAGGGCAGGUUCAAAAGUUUGCCAUGUACUUUUCAUCAUCUUCUGACUCACAAACAUUCAUAAACUCUUUAAAGGUGUGAGUACAUUUACUCAUGUUCUACCUAAGUUUCUUAGGGACUGUAAUAUCUCUGAUUUAACUGCAUCAAUCCACAUAGAUUUAGUUGAUGAUCUUAUAUAUGGAGAAUAGGGAUAUAAAGGAGGAGUUAUCCUCUGUGCUUGUAAAUAUUUUCUUUAAGAUGAUGAAGUGUUUAUUCCAUACAAGUACUUAGUAAAAUGGGAGGCUAUUGCUCUUGGACUCCCAUAGAAGGGUUAGGAAUUAAAAAUCUUGUACUUUUGGGUAAAGCUUUUAGGACGUUGUUAUGGAAAUUCUUCAUACCAAUAUAGUUUAGUUUUCCAUAAUGGUAUUACAAAGUCGUGGCAAUUUGUAUCUAAAGAUAUCCAUGCAUGAAAUUUUUGCAUGCUUUGUGAUGUCUUUUAUUUGUUUCCACCCCAGGAAGGCUUGAAGGAUGUCAGAAAUAUUGGACUUACAAAUAGCAAAUUUGGAUUAGAAAUGACAUAUUAUUCUUCAUCUGAGCAUAUCUUUAUGAAGGCCACUCUUGAGGGGUGAUGAAUUAUUCAUGUCUUUUAUGCAUGAUCAUUUAUUCUUUUACUGUGUCUAUAAGAUGAUCUAAAAUCACAAAAGAUAACACAUUGGAAGAUUGUAACUGAUGCUUGAAAAAAAAAUGAACUUUGCAGACCUGUUGAGAUAUUGAGCAAUGUGAAUCCUAAUGGGAAUUAUGAACCUAUAGCACAGCUCAUAUCAGGUCAUGAAAGCAUAAAACAUAUAUGUUCCAAGGAACCAAUGCUUGCUCAUGGCUUGGAUGCCACUUGUGCUUCCUUACCUCCAAGCUUCAUAGCUCUUCUCUUUGACUCUUGCCCCCAGGCAGAAGAAGGUAUGCUGAUUAUGUGGUUGUGAACAUGACAACUCUUGGUUCGCCAUAUAAUACAUAUACCAUUUAUAGAUUCUUGCCUCAAUAUUGGCAACCUAUAUUUGUCUUAUUGAAUGUGUAAAUGUGAAAAUGCUGCAGAACCACUAAAACAACCUGAUUCAUUUUAUCUGAACACCCAGUAAGUGCUAUUUUCUCCUCUCUGUAAUAUGUUUGCACUGAUGGUUAACCUGUUGUUAUGUAUCCAUUUUAUUACUGUCAUUUGGAAAUCUCUCGAAGGGGAUACUUCUAGAACGGCUUUCCUUUAAACUGCUAACAUUAUUUUUUAGCAUCUUUCUGCUAAUUAUGUCAUUUUAGUUUUCCAACAAAUAUUUGCUGUUGUUUGUGUCUUUUAUGUUUCUUUGGUCGUAUGACAGAUUCUUCUUUCAACGGUUAGUGAACUUCUUCUGGUUUCUGAUUUUAAACUUAAGCUCAUACUUUUUUGCAUUAUUUUUUAUUUAAUUUCUGAGUAGUUCUUUAAUUACAAAUUUGAUACCUGUUUAUGGUUUUGGGAAUCUUGUAACAUGCAAUGGUUAGGAAUCAAUUCCUGCUAUCCUUUUUGUUAGUAAAUGAUAUGCAGUGAUCUCAUUCUUCGCUUGGGUGGACUGAUAUUUAUGGGCUUUCUAAUUUGUGGUCCAUUAUAAGAGAACUCAUUCUCAUUUGGAGCAAGUGUACAGAAAUGCCACAGUUAAUUUUCAAUGACCUUGUUUAUGGUGAAAAUUACUCGUGUAAACCAAUCCAAAACUCCGUCACUAGAAGCCAAUGAAGUGUGGGUUAGAUGUCAAUCUCUUACCUUGCAAUUCUGAAUUCUGUUCCUGCAUUUCUUGUUAUCACCAGAUAUGUUGAGGAAACUAGAGAUGGUCAUUGGUGAACUGGGAGGAGACUUGGCACUGUGAUGACCAAUGGUUUUGCAGCAACAGCGGAAGUUAAACUCUUAUCAUCUCUCAUCCUUGAGCCUGCCACUUAAUGUAUGAACACCAGUUUUUCCUUAGGUAUGGUAUGUGACUUGCCUUGCUGAAACACUAAACAACAGUGUUACAGCAAUAUGAAUGGAAUACAAUUUCUGAUUUCCAUUUGAUCAAAAAAUGCAAUGUUACAGGUACAGCAAUCUUAAUAAAAUACAGUUUCUCAUUUCUAUUUGAUCG